rnacentral:misc_RNA from 1 species
GUGAAUCAUCGAAUCUUUGAACGCAAAUUGCGCUUCCUGGUAUCCCGGGAAGUAUGCCUGUUUGAGGGUCAGUAUUAAUAAAGAAUCGGUUAGGUAGCAAAUUUGGAUGUUUCCGGAGUUUGGGCAUAUUUAAACUUUUUUGUUUAAGGGGCUUAAAAUUGAUCUUUUUUGCGCAUUUUUAGAUGUAUAUAAUUUUUUUUUUAUUCGUUUCUUCUUACUGCCAACUUCUUAUUUGAUACGAUCACAUCGUGUGGC